GAAAUGCGAUAAGUAAUGUGAAUUGCAGAAUUCAGUGAAUCAUCGAAUCUUUGAACGCACCUUGCGCUCCUUGGUAUUCCUUGGAGCAUGCCUGUUUGAGUAUCAUGAAAUCUUCAAAGUAAAUCUUUUGUUAACUCAAUUGGUUUCUACUUUGGUAUUGGAGGUCUUUGCAGCUUCACACCUGCUCCUCUUUGUUCAUUAGCUGGAUCUCAGUGUUAUGCUUGGUUCCACUCGGCGUGAUAAGUUAUCUAUCGCUGAGGACACUGUAAAAGGUGGCCAAGGUAAAUGCAGAUGAACCGCUUCUAAUAGUCCAUUGACUUGGACAAUACUUUUAUGAUCUGAUCUCAGAACAGGUAGGACUACCCGCUGAACUUAAGC
rnacentral:misc_RNA from 1 species